GACGAACGCUGGCGGCGUGCCUAAUACAUGCAAGUCGAGCGAAGUUUUUCUGGUUCUUGCACUAGAAAAACUUAGCGGCGAACGGGUGAGUAACACGUAAAGAACCUGCCUCAUAGACUGGGACAACUAUUGGAAACGAUAGCGAAUACCGGAUAACAGCAUUAACUGCAUGGUUGAUGUUUAAAAGUUGGUUUUGCUAACACUAUGAGAUGGCUUUGCGGUGCAUUAGCUAGUUGGUGGGGUAAAGGCCUACCAAGGCGACGAUGCAUAGCCGACCUGAGAGGGUGAUCGGCCACACUGGGACUGAGACACGGCCCAGACUCCUACGGGAGGCAGCAGUAGGGAAUCUUCCGCAAUGGGCGAAAGCCUGACGGAGCAACGCCGCGUGAGUGAAGAAGGAUUUCGGUUCGUAAAGCUCUGUUGUUAGGGAAGAAUGAUUGUGUAGUAACUAUACACAGUAGAGACGGUACCUAACCAGAAAGCCACGGCUAACUACGUG
rnacentral:rRNA from 1 species